UACAGAGGGUGCGAGCGUUAAUCGGAAUUACUGGGCGUAAAGCGCGCGUAGGCGGCUUUGCAAGUCGGGUGUGAAAUCCCCAGGCUUAACCUGGGAACUGCAUUCGAGACUGCAUUGCUAGAGUAUGGGAGAGGGAAGUGGAAUUUCCGGUGUAGCGGUGAAAUGCGUAGAUAUCGGGAGGAACACCAGUGGCGAAGGCGGUUGCCUGGGGCUUUGCUGACGCUGAUGCGCGAAAGCGUGGGGAGCGAACCGG
rnacentral:rRNA from 1 species